AGAACUGCCUUUUAUUAACUUUAUACAGUAGAAGUUUUUUGGAUUGCCAAUUUUUAAAUGAAAAGUAUGCUUACAGUGAUUGCACUUGAAGUUACAGCAGCCUUCCCUGUUUCAUAUGUUGAGUGUUUAUCUCAAACUGGUAAAAACUUCCAAAAAUGGAAGGACAGUGCGAGUGUCAUAACACAUGAAUUAUUAGGAAAUAUGGAGAUUGAGCAAAAAUGAAACAAUUUUCCUGAGAGAGAUCUUACUUUUCAUCUAGCUUUAUUUAAAACUUUCGCUUCUAAUCUGAUUUUAGUCAGUACUGUUGGGGUUUUUAACUUUUUACAUUGAAAGCUUUUUUUUUAACUGAUGGAUUAUGAGAUGACCCCCACCCCAGGGCAUUCAAGUGGUCUGCUCUUGGCUCCAGUGGGGCCAAGCCCCCACAGCUGAUACAGUUUAUUAUAUAUUAUUUGUAUUACCGUAGCACCUAGGAGCUCUAGUCUUGUGCUGGGUCCUGAACAAACAAAAACAGUCCCUGGUCCCAGGAGUUUGCAAUCUAAGUACAAGACAAGAGAUAACAGAUGGAUGCAGACAGACUGGGGAGUACAAGGCAACAGAGAGACAGCAUUGGUCAACAUAAUAGGGAGUGAGGCUGCUGGUAUGCAGAAACAGCAGUCAUUAAGUUUUUUGUAGGGAUCACAGUAAAGGAGAGUUUUAAGGAGAGAUUUGAAGGUAGGUAAUGCAGUAGUCUUGCAGAUGUUUAUGGGGACUGCCUCCCAAACAUGUUGGGGUAGCAUGGGAGGAAGCAUGAAAGUAUGUUUGAAAAUUUAACAGUUGGGCAAGAGAGACUACUCUUAUGGGCCAAUUGGAGGUGAAUACUGACCGCUAAAUAGCAAAUGAGAGAUGAUAGCUCGUGUGGGGAUGGACUGUAAAGGGCCUUGAAAGUAAAUACCAACAGCUUAUGUUAGAUUGGAUAGAAAGGGGGGAACCAACGAGUGGAUUCAAGAGGUGACAUCAAAGUGACAGGUUAAGAAAAUGAUCUUUGAAGCUGUAUUCUGAAUGAAUGUGAGCAGGGUAAAAUUGCAUUUGUGAAGACCAGAGAGAAAGAUGUUGCAGUAAUCAAGAUGUGAGGUGAUGAGAGAGUGUGGCUGAGAGUUUUAGCUGUGUGGAUGAAUAGAAAGGCUGUAUCUUAGAGAUUUAUGCAGAAAGAAUCACCAAGAUUUAGAUAUAGCCUGGAUAUAAGGAUCUAAAGACAGGUCCAAGUUGAAGGUUACGGGCCUGAGGCCUUGUCAACACUACAGGGGAAAUUGGAUCUCAGUUACGCAAUUUGAGUUACAUGAAUAGCGUAACUCAGAUCGACGUAACUUUGAUCCUACUUGCCGUGGGGUCCAUACUACACGAUGUCGACGAGAGACACUCUCCCGUCGACUCCCCCUACUCUUCUCGAUCCGGUGGAGUAUAGGAGUCGACGGAAGAGUGAUCUGUGGUUGAUUUAGUGGGUCUUCACUAGACCUGCUAAAUCGACCACCGAUGCGUCGAUCGCCACUCAUCGAUCCCUCCGUAAGUGUUCACAAGCCCUGAGUGACAAUACAGAUGGUGGUGGUGUCCAUAGUGACUCAGAGAGGAGGUAGUGAGGAGGGUUUUUUGGGGAGAAGAUUGAGAUCUGUUUUUGCAGUGGUGGGCUUGAGCUGUCAGGUGGGCAUCCGUGAGAUGGCAGAGAGACAGGCUAGGAUUUAGUCCGUACAGAAGGAGACCGGUCUGGAGUAGAUCUGUUGAAUCGUCAGCAAGAGAAGAUAGUUGAAUUUUUGUUUGUGGAUGAGAUUUCCCAGAGAUAAGGUACAGAGGAAGAAGAGAAGGGGACCAAGGACAGAGUCCUAUGGAACCCCCACAGACAGCUGGAGAGCAGAGGAAAAGGUUCCUCCAAAGGACAUACUGAAGGAAUGACUAGAGAAGUAGGAGGUGAACAAGGAGAAGCAGAGUGACAGAAGCCAAGGGAGGACAAGAAUUCAAGAACAUCGUCAACUGUGUAAAAGAUGGCUGAUCAAGGAGCAUGAGGAUGGAGUACUAGUUCAGAACCCAUCUGUGACGUGGGAGAAGGAGAUGUGAGUUGUAGAAGGGGAAGGAAGAACGUUCUAUUUUGUCAGUUUUCUCUUGGAAGAAAUUGCCAAGAAUCUGCAUGAAGAGGGACGUGGAGGCAGUUGAAAUUCUUGUCUUUGUCACUUUAUUUAGGUGUAAUUAUUUUCCUUAAUCUUUUUAAACCAUCACUUUCCCUGUGUAAAAAGGCAGACUGAGCGUAAGCCUAUACAGCAAAGGAAAACCCGUGGCUGGCCCUUGCCAGCUGACUCGGGCUUGGGCCAUGGGGCUGUUCCUUUGUCAUGUAGACUUCCAGGCUUGGGAUGGUGCAUGAGCCCUGUGAGCCUGAAUCGACUGGGAUGAGCCAGCUGCAGGUUUUUCUUUGCUGUGUAGACAUACCCUUAGACAUCUGCAGCUGGCCUGUGCCAGCUGACUUGGGCGUAGGCUAAGGGGCUGUAACUGUGGUGUAGAUGUUCAGGCUCAGGCUGCAGUCCAAAUUCUGGGACCCUCCCCCCUUGCAGGGUACAAGAGAUGGGCUUGAGCCCAAAUAUCUACAUUGCAGUUAAAUAUCCCUGCGCGCCUAAGUCAGCGGGCACAGGCCAACCAUGGAUUUUUAAUUGUAGUGUAGACAUACCCUUGUUGUCUUCCUAAUGGUCGUCAGGGAACAUUAGUGUUAAGUGCUUCUCCAAGGACGAAAGCACGUUACCUUCUGCUCCCCUAACUUCCAUCAAAAUGAGCAAAAAUAUCAAGGUAAUUCCCAAACUCAUUUCCCCUUUUAGAAACAUGAGGUUACCAUUAACUCUUCAGCCAACUUUUUAAGAAAAUGUGAACACUUAUGGGGAAACUACAACUGGAAUAAUAUAAAGAAUGAAAACUUUGACUAAGAAUCGUGACAUAUUUAUCACAAGUGGUAGCUUUCUGAAUGUUUGGAAUAUGAAGGGUGAGAUUCUGAUCUAUGAUUUAUCAAAGCUGCCCAAAAUCUUGCUUGUAUGCAAAAGGCCUAUAAAGGAGCUCCUUAAGCCAUUUUUGUCUUCCUUUGUGCGCUUGUUCAGUGGUUGGACCUAAAGAGGCAAUAUGAUGUAGCUGACUGAGCACAGGACAAAGAAUCUGAAUUCUGUUCAUUGCUCUGCCAAUGGUUUGUUAUGUAGCCUUAAGCAAGACUCUUAAUCUCUCUCUUCCAGUGUUUUCAUAGCUGCAAAGUGAGAAUAAUUCUUAAUCCUGAAACAUGCUAUUGAGCUAGAAAUAUGUUUGAGUUUAGUUGAACAUUAAUUUGCACAGAACUUUGAAGAUGUCAGGCAUUAAAAGGCGCUGUCUAUACUAGAGAAAUUUGGACUACUGGCAUGCCUGUAACAUACCCAUAUGUCCACACAAACUUACUCACAUUGGUUCACAGACAGUCUCACACUUAGAUUGUACUUCCUCUGGUCAAGACAAGUCACAAUGUUGGGCUCCACUAAUGCAGUGCUAGCUGAUUAUGAAGCAAGUCUUGGAAGAAGCCAUCGUACGAGGACACUCUGCCCUGCUGGCCCAAGGCAGAUGUCUGGGAGACAAAAUGGUUGUCGCAGUUGAAACUCUGUAAUUUGGUACACUCUUGUCCCUGAAAAGCAGGGUAUUGCUUGCUCUGAGAAACAGAGAAAGGAAAAAACAAAAAUGUUGAUGGUCCAAUCCAGUAUGGGCCAAGGUAACAUCCACUUCGGGGCAGACAUGAAAAUGUCUUUCAAUGAACCAGUCCCUGUCAUUGGGCCUUUUCCAUCUGUGGAGAAGGAGGUACUAUCGGACAGCAUCUAGACACCCAGUAUAAGGCUUGUAAGGAUGCGAAUGGAGGACACCAUUAGGAUGGUUGAGUCCAAGGCAAGAGAUAUUUGAAAACCAAGAGGUGCUGGAAACCAUGCUGGGAUCACAGGACCUAUUAAGAAUUUCUGGAGUUGCUAGUGAAGAUUGUUCAGGUGGAAGAGGACUCUGGAGAUGAGGGGACUUCUGUAUAAGUGACUACUUUUGCCCCAAGAGCAUCACAGAGCAGAAAAGGAACCAGGAAUCCAGGAACACAAGUAGUCGAGUGCUUGACCAUCUUCUGGGGAAGGAAAGUGAAAAUGAGAUCUUCCUUCAUGUUUGUUGGUUUUGGUUUGGUUCUUUUAAGCACCACUCUUACCGAGUUUGAGGAACCACAUACCAACAUUUUAUUUUUUAUUUUUAAGACAACAGAUUUAACCAAGAGAACAGAAUAUCAAUGAAUAAAUGUACAUCAUGGUAGAGGAAUGAAGCUGCAGGAGCAAGAGAUACAUGAGGAGUUCUUGAAAGAAUACUUGCAUGUGCAAAGACAGCAAGCAGUCUUAUCCCAACAGUAGUCCUCUGCACUUGUUAAAUAUGUACCACAUCCUCAGGACAAUACCAUGGUACAGGAGAGUAGCAGCUUUUGUUGGGCUGCCACCUAAACUUGUAUUCUCCCUUCCAUCUGUUCUCAUAGCACUCCACUUGUGCAGGCAAUCAAGACAAAGAGAAUGGGAAUCCCCAGCACAUGACUUUCUUGUCUCUGCAGUCUGGAAAUAUUUCAUUGUUGCUUUUUGUAUUUUCAGUGGCUUAUUUUUGCCGUUGUGGGCUUAAUAAAUUUGAUUUGUGCCUUUUA